GCCAUUAUCAGAGCUGGCAGCUCCAGAAUCUCCAGGAGGUUCUCCAUGAGCUGAGCUGGCUGCUGGAAAGGAAUAUGGGGACACUCAGAUCGUAACUCCACCAGCACAUAGCAUUGCCAUCUUCUCAGUGCCUGAUGCCACACUGCAGGCACCAUAAGUGUGGUGACACAGUGGCUCUCCUUGUCUCUGAGAGGCUGCAGCAGCUUCCACCAGCACGCCAGGUAUGGGCAACCUUGAAGGCUCCUACAAGACUUGGGUUACAGCGCUUUGAGCCACUGCUUUCAUCUGCAUCUCCCAUCACCACACUUUACCCUCUAAUUUAUUCUGUGUGUGAAAAGGGGAAAGAAAAAGAAAUGCCUGACUGGCGACUGUGUUAAGUAUCACACCUCAAGGAUGGGAUUUCUGUGGAGAAAAAGCCCCCAAGUGAGACUUAUUCAUGCACAUUAACCUCAGGUAACAUAUGCACUCUUUUUUAAAGUCCUCUCACAUAUGGUACCUUUUAAUUUACUUUAGGUCACACAAGACACAAAGUACUUUGAAAUGUAAGCUAAGUCAUACAAAAGAACUACAAAAUCCAAAGGCCACAGGAUUGUUUCCACUGUGCAGAAGUGCACCUGAAGGAUGGAGCAGAACCAAGCAGUGUGGUAUAAUUGAAUGUACAUUGGUACCAGCCUGCAAGAACAAACCUGAGCACAAAUUCCCCCCUCCAGGCAGAAGAAGCCCAUGGAAGGAGAGAGAGAUCUGAUGAAAUUCCAGCGCUACUGAAGUGGAUAGAAAUUUUGCCAUCGAUUGUUCAACAAGGGACUCUUCCCUGCAGACUUCUCUCAGAUGGAUCAGGAUACAAAGUGCUGAAUUCCUCCCAGACCUUUGGGUCCCAUUGGGAUCUCCUCUCUGCUGGUCUACGUAUUCCACAUUUGAGGUUUCCUUCCAGGCAGUUUUCAGCAUCCUCUGUAGAGCUGCACCCCUGGCUUAUUGGUAGGCAUUUCUCUUGCAGCCUUCACUGGAUAUCUGACUUCCUCACAAACAUAAACAAUCAUUUCACAAUAACCCUGUUAGAAAAGGAAGACUUAUCACUUUUACUUAGAUUACAAACACAGGGGCUUUCAUAGUGACCACAAACAUGCAGCUGCCGAAGACUGAUUGACUUUCCCGUGGGGAAUACAUUGUGUUCUUGUCUGGAAGAGAUGAAUCUUUCCCGAGCGGGUGGAGGUUCCUCCGCUGACGUAGGGUGCAGCAGAAGCUAUUGGGGUCCAUCUCUGGAGAAGUGCAGUCACUAAUUUCAGUGACUGUUGAGAAGGGAUAUUUCCUCGUUUUGGCUGCAACUGACUACUUGGCGUUAGCUGGAGGCAUCCAGGAUCUGACUUCUUCCCCUAGUUAUGUUUCUGCAUCACUGCAUCACUGACCCUGAGUCCAGCGUCCCACCUCGUUAUCUCCUCUCCUGGCUCACCACCGGCUGCUUGCUGAGUGUGGAUGAGUGUAAUUCGGUGAGCAUUUUCUGAUUUGUGGUGGGACUUUGGGACACAUCUGUUAUAAGAAAGAAGAGUUUCUAAGUCACUUGGGAAUUUUUGGAAAAUUUUACUCUUGUUAUUGCAGUUUGGUAAAAAUCUUCUUCCAAAAAGCAAUGUAUUUAGUUACUCCAAACACAGAGAGCAGAAGCUUCAAAAGCAAGGAAAGAGCUCCAGCAUUCUCUAAUCCAGUGGGUUUGGGGCGUGCCAGCAGUCAUGUGUAAUUGUCCUCAAAGGGACACAUGCACCAUGGCUGCGAACUCCUUCAGAAAACUUCCCUCAACAAAUCCUGCCCUCAGAGUCUCCCCUGCAACCUCCUCCCACAUUUGGUAGUGCACGGAGGUAACUUGUCAGAACUUGGUUGGUUGUCUGUGUGCUCAGAAGAUUAUGAAGAGGAUAAAGUGGGUUUUAUUUCUUCCCUCUGAUUUAAAACUUACUGUAUCAGCACUGCUUUCAUUUAGUAUUCUUAUAUUGGUAAAAUGUGGGCUUUCAUUGCAAGAUUUGCUUCUUAGCGAUGAAAAAUCUGAUAUAAACCAGAGUUCAAGUAGUCUUUUAUUUUCUAACAGACCAGCUUUAAAUCUAGUGGGAUAACUGUGCUGGCAGAGAGCACGGAUCUCUGCGUGUAGUAUAGAUUUGGAGCCAUUUUCUCAAGAACAUGGGGGCAGAAAGUUUUACUGCUGGAAUGCUGUAAACUCCUUCCUGUGGCCAUCUGCCCUCCCCACACAGGCGCCAUGAGGAGGACAUGGGCACAUUAACACACCACCACUGAACAAGCAGAGUAUGAACUUGCAACAGAUCAGCUUUCUGAUAAGCAAUUUAAUGACCGUUUCAAACUUGAAGAGAUUUUCCCACUGAUCCUGGUAGGCUAACUCCCUCAAAAGGCUCUUCUGAUGCCUUUGAUCCCACCCAUGACACACGACUGCCCCUGUACCACAGAAGGGGCAGCAUCUGCUGCCUCAUGACCAAGCUAUCUACAGUGUCGAAAGAGAUCUCUCUGGUAAAGUGUAUCUUCAGGGUAGGGACUGACUCUGCUAUUAUUGCUUCAUUAGAUCCAUUUUUUCUUCCUCAGUCUUUUUUGUUGGUUUACACUUUCUAUCUUCUCUUUAUUUUUAUCUCUGCUCAUCAUUGUUUGCAUUUUUCUCUCUUCUUUUUUUCUCAUUUUUUCCUGCCUGUUUUCCACUAAGUUUUUCCUUUCUUCGCCUUACACAUCCACUCCCUUCUCUCAGGUUAUUUCUUUGCUCUCUGUUUGCUUCCUUCUGUCUAGUUCUUUCUGCUCAUCAGCCACAGAGGCAGGACCAGCUGGGAUACAUCCCAGUGAGAGCACCUGCCCAGAACAUAGAGCAGAGAUGCCUUGAGACAGUUUUGGUUUUGAGCGUGUGUUACAGUUAGGGAGGGAGGGGGCAUUUUUCAACAGGCCUGCUCAGUUUGCACACAUGGCACAGCCAGGGAAGGCAGCAGCAGGAGGACAAGCUCUGAAAGUAUGGUGAAAGGAAAUCCAGGGAGGAGAUAUGGCUUUGCAAUGCAAGGCAGCAAGCCAAGGAGAAAUCUUUAAGAGGAGGGUAGAGCUCCGUGCUGUGCAUUUCAGGCCCAGCAUGAUGAGACUUUUACAUAUGAGAAGGAAGCAAAUGCUGACCAUGGCCCUGCUCCUGAUCAAACCCUGCAUGCUGGGUAUAUUUUUCAGGAGAAUGUUUCCUGGCUUGCUCCUCAUGAUUCUUCUGUUAUGGGAUGGAAAUGGGCAUCCACUGAACAUAUGCGGAAGUGCUAAGCAGCAUGUGCAGGUUGUGACAAGGAGCUCAAGUAAAGGAAAACUCAUAGAGGUAGAGAUGGGGGCCGUGUUAAAGGACAGUGUAAACAGAAUCAUCCACCAGAUGCAAGGCUUUUCUGAAUUAGCAUUAGCAUCAACAGCAGUUGUGACAGGCACUGCUGACUGUGGAUGUUUCUGAGUGCCCACAAGCCAUCAGCCAUAUGACAUAGUUUAUGCAUUGCUGGCGGUACUUGUGUCUGUUCAGAAACUCUGGCUCUGACUUUCUUCUUCCUCUCAUAGAUCAAUGUUGUGGAAGAGUCUGUAACACCCUGUGUUGAAGAGGAGGGGUGACCUGAGUUGUAUCAGGAGUUUAUAUGUUAGGUUACUUAGUGUGGGAAGGGGGAAGGGGAUGCUGGGACUUGGCUCCUGGCCUCCACUGAGUAAGAUGGAGCAGUGCAGAAAGGCUGCUGGAGGGAGGCCACUGGCGAUGCUGGGCUCCAGGGAGAGCUUUCAUAUGUGAGUAAGGGAGAGCGAGGGGAUGUCCAGAGAUCUGCUGUGCAACAGCAUGUUUAGGCUAAUCCCACGUUGCUAAGGAGCCCUACACAUAUUUGGUAUUGGCUCCUGUUAUUCUGCAGUCCUUCCUCAGGUGGCCACCCCCUCCUCCCAGCAAAAUCCAUCUGUUUGGCCAUGAACCUCAUGACUUUUGGCUCUGUAGGAUGCAGCAUGUCACGAAACCCCUGAGCGUGCCUUUCUCAGCCUCGAUGAGACUCCAAGCCCAGCACUCCAGCUCUGCUGAACAUCUCCAGCUGUUUCUUGACAAGCAACUCACCCUGAGUCAGAGCCCUUCACAGCUCUGCCCUGAGGGGUGCACUGCCCAUGGGCAGGGAGACGUCUCUGGCUCUGAACUUGUUCUUCUGGGGAGAGCUUUUAGUCGUGGCCUAAGCAGCUCUCCAGAAAGGCACACAGCCCUUUCUGCUGAGGAAACACAGGACUGCUGGCCACCACACAAUCAGCCAGCACCUCUGGAAUGCUUCUGAGAUCCCUCAAAUCCCAGACUCAUGCUGAACUUCCUGAGGUGUUCUCCUAGCACAGCAUGCAUCACUUGGAGCUGUCCUGUGGAAAGUGGCAUCAGCCCAUGGAGGUCUGCAGGUGAGCCCAUGCUUGGUCUUUCCUGUCCAGAGCUGGCUCUAUGGUGCAGUUCCUGCCCCGCUGAUGGUGGUGUGCACCAUAGGAGAUGUGUGCAUGAAACUUGGCCUUUCUAGAUGGGGUUGCUUUUAGAAGUAGGUAUCACAAAAUGCUGAUCCACACAAUCAUCACCUGAGGUGCUGAUGUGGGUGCACUCCACAGAGCCACCAGUUCAGCUGUGGGCAGCAGCAAGUCCCAAAUAUACCCCUUCUGCCACAGUGCAGGGAACUGUUCCCUGGUGCUACAGUGCCUGAGAACUUCCAUGCCAUGGGCUCUCAUGCUGGUCCAGCCAGGGGCUCCUUGAAACUGGGGAAGACCCUGUGGAGAUCUGGGCUAUCCCACCUUCAUCCUUUCCCAGCCUGAGGGACAAUAUGGCUUUGCCACUGGGGAGGCUCAAAGGAAGGAAUUCUGGUGGAGCAGCCAGGGCCUAGGCCAGGCUGUGGGCAAUGUGCAUGCUGCAGUGCAGAGACAUGGUGUCAUUUCUGCAAGAGUGGCUGGGGAGAAUUCCUGGCCUGGCAUGUGAUUUUCAUUAGCAGUCAAGGUGAACAGCAGCACUUUCCAGAGACGUGGCCUGCAGAGUGGGGGGAAAGGCAGUGCAGGACAGCUCUCCUUUUUCUGUGUUCACAGAGAGAGUGGUCAGUGUGGAUGCUACCUCAGUGAGAAGAAGCUCUUCAACAUCAUGGCAAGAAGGCACUGUUAGGUAUCUGAGUGGCCCAAGGAGGACUUGGUUCCUGUCUUCAGGGCUCUGCUUCUGCUUGGAAUGGAUGUACCUGAGAUGGCCUGCUUUCCCUUAAAUGUCACACCUGCCAAAUGUAGAUGUCAGCCCCUCAGGACCACGAGCAUGUGUGCGGUCAUUACGUGUGAACUCUCCUCUAAAACAACAUCGUACAGAUUUCAAGUUAAGCUUUCAGUAGUUAAGAAAAGAUAGGACUAAUAUUUCCUGUGCAAUGUCAACCAGUCUUGAUACUUUUAUAACAUCUUCUCUCUCUUAGGAUCUCUUCACUGACUCCAGCUUCGCAUUCAAUUUAGUACAAUCUUCUGUAUCUCUCCUGUUUUGCUGCUAGCUCUAGUUCUUUACUAUUCCUGCUGCUAUGGUACUGAGCCUCCCUGCAGCUGUUAGCUCCCAAGAACAGAGGCUGCAGGCCAUGCACCUCUUCCUCAGCCCUGAAGCAGAGGUGCCCAGCAAGGAUGGGCCCUUGCUCUCACACUUUGAGUGGGGCACCUCAGCCUCUCAGCUUCAUUUCCUUGCAUUACGUAAGAGUUAACCUAGUUAGUUGCCUAAAGUUCAGAUAAAACCAAGGGUCCUGACAGCAUCUAGAUCUCAAUUGAAGGCUUUAAAGAUCGGUAAGCUUCUGAGUAGCUGUAAGCAGGUCUUUCAGUGGAGGUUGUCAAGGAAAUAUGACGUGUGUUUGGCACCGUUACUGGCUUAGUUUGCAGUAACUGUGUAGAGACUUCUUUAGACUACAGGGCUGUGGAUGGGGCUGUCAGAAAAGUGAAGGUAUUUCUCACUUAAUUUGAUGGUUUCAUUUAUUACCUUUUGGGGAUAUGAAUUCACAGAAUAUCACAGCAACAGGUCUGUGAUUUUUUCACGAGGCACAACUGCUUUUCAGUCUGUUACCUCCUGCUGGCAUGGUAGUUUUUUGUGAACCUGCCACAGGAUGUGUAAUGCCGUGGUGUUUUCAGCUGAAGUCACAGCCAGCAAAUAGAAAGCUCUGAGUUAUGAUCAUACGAUGCCAUAACCUGCCCUCCAGGGUGAGGGAGAUUGGUUGGUCAGAAGCUGCGCAGAUGGCUUUAAAGUAUCACAGAAUUAGUUUUGUUUGGAACAACUCUGAAGACCUCUUCUGGCUUUUCUGUAAUCUUGGCUCCAAGCUUCUUAUGUCAGCCAAGAUGUAAAAAGAGCACUGGACAGGUUGGCGCUUUAGGCAACGUUUAGAAACCAUGGUUAUAAACUUAACCUGGCCAAGUAAGCAAAACUACUUCUUCACAUGAUUGUAUGCCACUCCUUUAUGCUAAAGAAGGAAGAAACAGGCUGUGAGGUAGCUCAGUGAUAUACUCUCAAUUCAGUUUUCUGAAGUGCCUAUAAUCACAAUUCCUGAGUAGUUGUGAUGACAUCUGAGUCAGCAAGUUUGUUCCAACAAGUGCGUUGCUGGCUGAAAACAAAGAAAGAGCAGGAUUACUUUAGCCAGAUUGCAACAAACUGAAUUGAGUGAAACAAGCCAGCUCAGAAAAUCAAUGUUUGUUGGAUAGAUUCAUUGUUGGUAGGGAUGGUUUUCUUUUGAUUGGCAGAAUGCCCACCUCCACUUAUUAGAAUUAUUAUAGAGGUGCAUCAGAGCUGAAGAGAGAUAAUGUUCUUCACACCUGGCUAACAGUUUGGUGACAUGGAUGGGAUGCUCAGACAAGCCAUUAUAUAAUAAAUGGCAGUUUUUGGUUUUUAGGAAAACUUACAGUUUUCUACUCAGAGAAAGGAGAUGCUAUGUUUUCUGAAUAUUCAGAACUGCGUCAGCUUGGGGUAAAAGCCUGCUGAGAUCUUCCAGGUUUCCUGCUUUCUGAGCCAAAACUUACCACAGAUGUGACUACAUGUUAGACAGAUCUGCAGUUUUGAGGAUUCAGUCCAGAACCAAAACUUGAAGGGAAACCUGGGGUUUAUAGGUGAAUCUGCUGCCUCCCUUGCAUCCCAGAGAAACAGGUUUUUGGUUUGGGUUUGGCUCAGCAUCUAUGCAUCUGGCAUUCUGGAAGACCACAUAUGAAGCAAACCGAACCAGUCAAAUUAAUCAUCAUGCCAUUUUACUUGUUGAUUUAUAAGCAGAGGAAAGCACUGAUCAUGUUUCACCUACUUGCCUUUUGCAAGUUUCCCACAAUACAGGUAACGUGUUUUAUGCUUUAUAGUCUGUAUUGUUUGGCAGCAGCCUCAUGAGUUCCUUUUCAGGAGUGUAUGUCUUUGUUCUACCUUGGAGGUCUCUCAUGUGGGUCCUCUGGAUUUUUUGCCUCUGUUCUUCUCAGCUACUUAAAGCUUUUUUGCCAGGAACUUGGAAGAAGAAACAGGCAACAGGAAACACUCAGGACAUGAUGGUUCAAAGAAAAACAAUCUCCUGCUGUUUGUCUCCAGCUUCUGAGUCUCUGAUGUACCUGCCUGUACCUCUGGCCCUUGGCCACCACCCACCUCCCGGCUGUUCUCAUGCUUCUCCUCCACCAGCUUCCCAUCGCCUACUGAAAAGUCUGGAGUUUCCCUGAAAGUUGCUAUGCUGUUUUUGAGGCUAGUUCCCUCCUUUGUAAUUAUGCCAUGACCUCUGUGAGAACAGCCUCUAUAUACAUAGCUAAGAUGCUUUUUCUUCCACAUGACAGCUCUUCUUCUGUGAGCACCAGCGAGCUGCUCACGCCUCCUUCCACCUUCUGAUCGCACCAACCCUCCACCCCACAGCCCAGUCCAAAAGCAAGCUCCCUGGCUUCGUGCAAAGGGCUGAGCCGGCCACUGAGGCAUCUGUGAACCAUUUCUAGAGCUGGAACAGGUCGGGAUCUGUUGCCCUGUCAGUAGCAGUCCUCACAUGUAUCAUUACGCAACCAUAUAAUGUUGCUCAUUAAAUCAUUCGUUGACAUGAAUUUGAUUUUCAGCUCAUUUACAAUACUAGCUCUGCCGAAAGAAAAUUUGAUUUAAUUAUUACUGUAAGUUCUUUCUACAAAAUAUUAUGCAUUAUUUUGAAAUGCCUGGCUGUGGUGUUACUUUAACAUUUUUGUAAGCCUCUAGUGGAACAAUGUUAGACUGUCCUUAUCCUUCCUUUUCAUUGUCAAACAAACCAAAGCAAACACAUCUCUGAGAAUUUUAAAUAACUUUCCCCUUAACCUUUUGCAUAAAUCUUAUGAUACACUUAAAGUAAAACUAAAUUGAUUUAUUUUUUACGAGUUCCUAUGCAUAACAUGGUUUUAUUUGUAGAUCAGGAUGUGCCAAAACU